rnacentral:ncRNA from 1 species
CUGACAGUAAACUUCCUGAUUCCCAAAGCGGAUAUGAGAAGGGCAUUGGCGUAUUAAUGGCGGCUUUAGCAGGAUCAAAUCUUAU